rfam:Loxodonta africana cont3.61905, whole genome shotgun sequence.
GUGAGGGGCUGGGCAAGAAGAAGAACGGAGGAUGGGGGCACUCGCGCCCCAAGAGUGAAGACAAACAGCUGUGGAGGCGCUGCCCGCGGCUCAGGCUUCCCAACAGGUUAGAUAGACCGGGAUCCAACCGGCAUUUCUCAGUAAAGGGUGGGGGGAAGGCAGCGAGAGGGAGAGAGCGCCUCACAAGAGGACAGAGGGAGGGUGGGAAAGAA